rnacentral:rRNA from 1 species
ACAUGCCUACAUCAUAAUGCUAAUGCAUCGAAUCCCAUUAGAACUCUGUAGUUAAGCUCGCUCAGGCUAGAGUAGUACUGGGAUGGGUGACCGCUCUGAAAGUCCUAGUGUUUUACAUGCC